GGAUAAAGUCAUGGUGAUGAAAUAAUUGUUUCUCAAUGUAAUUGGAGCUGAAGCAGAGAAGAUUCAUGUCUUGUUCUCCCCAACAGAACAUGAAGGAAAUGAAGGAGAGCUAAGAACACAAAGAAUGGCACUUGCAGGAGAGGAAAAAUGUCUAUGUUUAGAAAGAGCAGCAUUUCCCACAGAGUAACCCACAUAUGGAAAGAAGUUCUAACAGAUGAAAAAGAAAUGACUACGAGAAAAUAAUAGAAGUGUGAGAAUCCUCAAGAAGAAAGUCUCACAGACUUAAUUACUGCUACACAGUGAGCUACUGCCACUAGGCGGCAGAAUGAUUCUCUUUGCCAGGGCAACGAGUUAGCUGACUUAAAUUCCUACUAAAAAGCUACAAAAAUGUGUUAAUAAUAUUGUCUGCUGCCCUACAUUUGUCUCUUAAAACCUUUAAAUCUGUAAUGGAAUUGUAAAUGAUUCUGUAAGAAUUGUACACUUGUUAAUGCCAGUCAUACCUGAGAGUUCCUAGAAAAUUUACAUGCAAAGUAUAAAGCAAGCAUAAAAAUGAAGGGAGAGCAGUGGCUAUUGUCUACCUGGACUUCAGUAGGUUCUUUGAUGCUGUCUCCCAGAAAAGCCUCAUACUGGCCAGUGGGGUAGAUUUAAAACUGGCUAAGCCAAUUUGUUCAGAAUGGUCCGUGGUGUG
rnacentral:lncRNA from 1 species